rnacentral:tRNA from 1 species
UUCCUGGUAGCUUAGUGGUUAGGACUCAGCAUUGUCAUUGCUGAGGCCUAGGUUCAGUCCCUGGUCUGGGAA